ensembl:miRNA
GGCUCAGAGUAGGAGCUCAACAGAUGCCUGUUUACUGAAUAAUAAACAAGUAUCGCAGGAGCUUUUGUUAUAUGCC